rnacentral:rRNA from 1 species
GACGAACGCUGGCGGCGUGCUUAACACAUGCAAGUCGAACGGAAAGGCCCUGCUUUUGUGGGGUGCUCGAGUGGCGAACGGGUGAGUAACACGUGAGUAACCUGCCCUUCACUUUGGGAUAACUUCAGGAAACUGGGGCUAAUACCGGAUAGGAGCUCCUGCUGCAUGGUGGGGGUUGGAAAGUUUCGGCGGUUGGGGAUGGACGCGCGGCUUAUCAGCUUGUUGGUGGGGUAGUGGCUUACCAAGGCUUGGACGGGUAGCCGGCCUGGGAGGGUGACCGGCCACAUUGGGACUGAGAUACGGCCCAGACUGAUACGGGAGGCAGGAGUGGGGACUAGUGCCCACUGGGCGGAAGCCUGAUGCAGGAACGCCGCGUGCGGGAUGACGGCCUUCGGGUUGUAAACCGCUUUCGCUUGUGACGAAGCGUGAGUGACGGUAAUGGGUAAAGAAGCACCGGCUAACUACGU